rnacentral:rRNA from 1 species
UACGAAGGGGGCUAGCGUUGUCCGGAAUUACUGGGCGUAAAGGGCUCGUAGGCGGCCAACUAAGUCGGACGUGAAAUCCCCAGGCUCAACCUGGGAACUGCGUCCGAUACUGGAUGGCUUGAAUUCGGGAGAGGGAUGCAGAAUUCCAGGUGUAGCGGUGAAAUGCGUAGAUAUGGGGAGGAACACCGGUGGCGAAGGCGGCCAUCUGGACGGUAACUGACGCUGAGACGCGAAAGCGUGGGUAGCAAACAGG